rnacentral:lncRNA from 1 species
AAGGAGCUGUGGGAGCUGGGAGAGGCAAGAUGUGCUGGAACUGACUGGCUUGAGGCUUAAGAGUUGCUGAAACCACUGCUCAAUCCUGUGCUGGUGCUGGAGCAAGAACUGGGGACAUAGGAAACAGGAUCCUAUCAAAAGAGAAUAGGAGGAGGAAAGAAAUGAGCCAAGUGUUGCAGAUGAAAAGCAUGCACAGAUCUGCUUCAAGUUUACUCCUAAUCACCGACUCUACAACCCUUUAACUCACCAGGAGUUGGAACACACUCUGAGAGGUGAGUACAAUCCACAUUAAGGACAAAGGGAGCCAUAACACCUGGGAAAUACCAUCAGAAGUGGAAUUUGAGUUGUAGGAGUUCUUUAUAUAUUUUGGAUAUAAAUCAUGAGGAUAUGUUGUUACCAAAUGUUUUCUGCCA